UACAGAGGUGGCAAGCGUUGUUCGGAAUUACUGGGCGUAAAGGGCGCGUAGGCGGCCUUCUAAGUCAGACGUGAAAUCCCCCGGCUUAACCUGGGAACUGCGUCUGAUACUGGAGGGCUUGAGUGCGGGAGAGGGAUGUGGAAUUCCAGGUGUAGCGGUGAAAUGCGUAGAUAUCUGGAGGAACACCGGUGGCGAAGGCGGCAUCCUGGGACCGGCAUUGACGCUGAGGCGCGAAAGCCAGGGGAGCAAACGGG
rnacentral:rRNA from 1 species